CCUACGGGUGGCUGCAGUGGGGAAUAUUGCACAAUGGGGGGAACCCUGAUGCAGCGAAGCCGCGUGGGUGAGGAAGUAAUUCGGUAUGUAAAGCCCUAUCAGCAGGGGAGAAAAUGACGGUACCUGACUAAGAAGCCGCGGCUAACUACGUGCCAGCAGCAGGGGUAAUACGUAGGGGGCAAGCGUUAUCCGGAUUUACUGGGGGUAAAGGGAGCGUAGACGGCGUGCCAAGUCUGGUGUGAAAGGCCGGGGCUCAACCCCGGGACUGCAGUGGAAACUGGCCUGCUGGAGUGCCGGAGGGGCAAGCGGAAUUCGUGGUGUAGCGGUGAAAUGCGUAGAUAUUAGGAGGAACACCGGUGGCGAAGGCGGCUUGCUGGACGGUAACUGACGUUGAGGCUCGAAAGCGUGGGGAGCGAACAGGAUUAGAUACCCGAGUAGUC
rnacentral:rRNA from 1 species